UUUUACAGUAACUAAAAACGACAAAAUUGGAACGAUACAGAGAAGAUUAGCAUGGCCCCAGCGCAAGGAUGACACGCACAAAUCGAGAAAUGGUCUAAAUUUUC
rnacentral:snRNA from 1 species